rnacentral:ribozyme from 1 species
UGCAUGUUGUCACUCAUGGUCACAGAGGGAGGGAGGUCGCGAAAGACAUGUAUAUCCACCACUUGUUGUGUGUUUUCUUUUUUUCUUUUUUCUUUUUCUUUUUCUUUUUCGUUUUUC